rnacentral:ncRNA from 1 species
AAAGAUUUAGAGCCAGGCCGGGGCAUCCGUGCCCCGUUAACACGGCCGUACAUCAGGUCGGUUGCCUGGUUCCUUGCAUUGAGUGAUGUACGGAGUUUAAGAGC